CCUACGGGUGGCAGCAGUGAGGAAUCUUGGUCAAUGGGCGCGAACCUGAACCAGCCAAGUAGCGUGAAGGAUGGCUGCCCUACGGGUUGUAAACUUCUUUUAUAAAGGAAUAAAGUGAGGCAAGUGUGCCUUUUUGUAUGUACUUGAUGAAUAAGGAUCGGCUAACUCCGUGCCAGCAGCCGCGGUAAUACGGAGGAUGCGAGCGUUGUCCGGAUUUAUUGGGUUUAAAGGGAGCGUAGAUGGGUUGUUAAGUCAGUUGUGAAAGGUUGCGGCUCAACCGUAAAAUUGCAAUUGAUACUGGCAGCCUUGAGUACAGUGGAGGUAGGCGGAAUUCGUGGUGUAGCGGUGAAAUGCUUAGAUAUCACGAAGAACUCCGAUUGCGAAGGCAGGUUACUAAACUGCCACUGACAUUGAUGCUCGAAAGUGUGGGUAGCAAACAGGAUUAGAUACCCCGGUAGUC
rnacentral:rRNA from 1 species